GAUGAACGCUGGCGGCGUGCCUAAUACAUGCAAGUCGAGCGAACAGACGAGGAGCUUGCUCCUCUGACGUUAGCGGCGGAUGGGUGAGUAACACGUGGAUAACCUACCUAUAAGACUGGGAUAACUUCGGGAAACCGGAGCUAAUACCGGAUAACAUGUUGAACCGCAUGGUUCAACAGUGAAAGACGGUCUUGCUGUCACUUAUAGAUGGAUCCGCGCCGCAUUAGCUAGUUGGUAAGGUAACGGCUUACCAAGGCAACGAUGCGUAGCCGACCUGAGAGGGUGAUCGGCCACACUGGAACUGAGACACGGUCCAGACUCCUACGGGAGGCAGCAGUAGGGAAUCUUCCGCAAUGGGCGAAAGCCUGACGGAGCAACGCCGCGUGAGUGAAGAAGGUCUUCGGAUCGUAAAACUCUGUUAUUAGGGAAGAACAAAUGUGUAAGUAACUAUGCACGUCUUGACGGUACCUAAUCAGAAAGCCACGGCUAACUACGUG
rnacentral:rRNA from 1 species